rnacentral:rRNA from 1 species
UAUAGAGGUCUCAAGCGUUGUUCGGAUUCAUUGGGCGUAAAGGGUGCGUAGGUGGCGCUGUAAGUCGGGUGUGAAAUUUCGGAGCUUAACUCCGAAACUGCAUUCGAUACUGCGGUGCUUGAGGACUGGAGAGGAGACUGGAAUUCAUGGUGUAGCAGUGAAAUGCGUAGAGAUCAUGAGGAAGACCAGUGGCGAAGGCGGGUCUCUGGACAGUUCCUGACACUGAGGCACGAAGGCCAGGGGAGCAAACGGG